CCUUCAACACAUUUUUAAUCAGAAGGAACUCAACAUGCGACAACGACGAUGGGUUGAGUUACUCAAUGACUACGAAUGCGAAAUUCGUUAUCAUCCUGGCAAGGCCAACGUGGUAGCUGACGCCCUCAGUCGAAAGGAAUACACUGGUCGGAGGGUCAAAUCUCUGACUAUGACUAUCCAUUCCCACUUAUCCACACAAAUUAAGGAGGCACAAAUGGAAGCUUUGCAACCUGAAAAUGUGGCGGGUGAAUCCCUGCGAGGAAUGGAAAAGAAUCUAGAAGUCAAGGGUGGCGGAGCAUAUUAUCUCAUGGACCGAAUCUGGACACCGAAACAUGGUGGUUUCAGAGACGUAGUCAUGACCGAAGCACACAACACAAGAUAUUCCGUUCACCCAGGUUCAGAUAAAAUGUAUCUGGAUCUUAAGAAACUGUACUGGUGGCCUAACAUGAAAGCAGAAAUUGCUACCUUCGUAAGUAAAUGCCUUACUUGCGCUAAGGUUAAGGUCGAGUAUCAGAAACCGUCAGGAUUACUACAACAACCGGAGAUACCAGAAUGGAAAUGGGAGCGGAUUACUAUGGACUUCAUAACCAAGUUNUGUACUGGUGGCCUAACAUGAAAGCAGAAAUUGCUACCUUUGUAAGUAAAUGCCUUACUUGCGCAAAGGUUAAGGUCGAGUAUCAAAAACCGUCAGGAUUACUACAACAACCGGAGAUACCAGAAUGGAAAUGGGAACGGAUUACCAUGGACUUCAUAACCAAGUUGCCCAAGACGACGGGUGGACUUGAUACCAUAUGGGUCAUCGUCGACAGAUUGACCAAAUCCGCGCAUUUCCUACCAAUCAAGGAGACAGACAAAAUGGAAAAGCUUACAAGAACUUACAUAAGGGAAGUAUUGCGACUACACGGUGUUCCGAUAUCCAUUAUCUCCGAUAAAGAUAGUAGAUUCACUUCAAGAUUCUGGCAGUCGCUACAAAGUUCCCUGGGGACUAGGCUAGACAUGAGUACAGCCUACCACCCACAAACAGAUGGGUAAAGUGAGA
rnacentral:lncRNA from 1 species